rnacentral:rRNA from 1 species
GGUUUACCUGUGUGACUGCGUACCUUUUGUAUAAUGGGUCAGCGACUUAUAUUCUGUAGCAAGGUUAACCGUAUAGGGGAGCCGUAGGGAAACCGAGUCUUAACCGGGCGUUAAGUUGCAGGGUAUAGACCCGAAACCCGGUGAUCUAGCCAUGGGCAGGUUGAAGGUUGGGUAACACUAACUGGAGGACCGAACCGACUAAUGUUGAAAAAUUAGCGGAUGACCUGUGGCUGGGGGUGAAAGGCCAAUCAAACCGGGAGAUAGCUGGUUCUCCCCGAAAGCUAUUUAGGUAGCGCCUCGUGAACUCAUCUCCGGGGGUAGAGCACUGUUUCGGCUAGGGGGCCAUCCCGGCUUACCAACCCGAUGCAAACUGCGAAUACCGGAGAAUGUUAUCACGGGAGACACACGGCGGGUGCUAACGUCCGUCGUGAAGAGGGAAACAACCCAGACCGCCAGCUAAGGUCCCAAAGUCAUGGUUAAGUGGGAAACGAUGUGGGAAGGCCCAGACAGCCAGGAUGUUGGCUUAGAAGCAGCCAUCAUUUAAAGAAAGCGUAAUAGCUCACUGGUCGAGUCGGCCUGCGCGGAAGAUGUAACGGGGCUAAACCAUGCACCGAAGCUGCGGCAGCGACACUGUGUGUUGUUGGGUAGGGGAGCGUUCUGUAAGCCUGUGAAGGUGUGUCGUGAGGCAUGCUGGAGGUAUCAGAAGUGCGAAUGCUGACAUAAGUAACGAUAAAGCGGGUGAAAAGCCCGCUCGCCGGAAGACCAAGGGUUCCUGUCCAACGUUAAUCGGGGCAGGGUGAGUCGACCCCUAAGGCGAGGCCGAAAGGCGUAGUCGAUGGGAAACGGGUUAAUAUUCCCGUACUUGGUGUUACUGCGAAGGGGGGACGGAGAAGGCUAUGUUGGCCGGGCGACGGUUGUCCCGGUUUAAGCGUGUAGGUGUGUGUUCCAGGUAAAUCCGGUUCACUUUAACACUGAGGCGUGAUGACGAGGCACUACGGUGCUGAAGCAACAAAUGCCCUGCUUCCAGGAAAAGCCUCUAAGCAUCAGGUAACAUCAAAUCGUACCCCAAACCGACACAGGUGGUCAGGUAGAGAAUACCAAGGCGCUUGAGAGAACUCGGGUGAAGGAACUAGGCAAAAUGGUGCCGUAACUUCGGGAGAAGGCACGCUGACACGUAGGUGAAGUGAUUUACUCAUGGAGCUGAAGUCAGUCGAAGAUACCAGCUGGCUGCAACUGUUUAUUAAAAACACAGCACUGUGCAAACACGAAAGUGGACGUAUACGGUGUGACGCCUGCCCGGUGCCGGAAGGUUAAUUGAUGGGGUCAGCGCAAGCGAAGCUCCUGAUCGAAGCCCCGGUAAACGGCGGCCGUAACUAUAACGGUCCUAAGGUAGCGAAAUUCCUUGUCGGGUAAGUUCCGACCUGCACGAAUGGCGUAAUGAUGGCCAGGCUGUCUCCACCCGAGACUCAGUGAAAUUGAACUCGCUGUGAAGAUGCAGUGUACCCGCGGCAAGACGGAAAGACCCCGUGAACCUUUACUAUAGCUUGACACUGAACAUUGAGCCUUGAUGUGUAGGAUAGGUGGGAGGCUUUGAAGUGUGGACGCCAGUCUGCAUGGAGCCGACCUUGAAAUACCACCCUUUAAUGUUUGAUGUUCUAACGUGGACCCGUAAUCCGGGUUGCGGACAGUGUCUGGUGGGUAGUUUGACUGGGGCGGUCUCCUCCUAAAGAGUAACGGAGGAGCACGAAGGUUGGCUAAUCCUGGUCGGACAUCAGGAGGUUAGUGCAAUGGCAUAAGCCAGCUUGACUGCGAGCGUGACGGCGCGAGCAGGUGCGAAAGCAGGUCAUAGUGAUCCGGUGGUUCUGAAUGGAAGGGCCAUCGCUCAACGGAUAAAAGGUACUCCGGGGAUAACAGGCUGAUACCGCCCAAGAGUUCAUAUCGACGGCGGUGUUUGGCACCUCGAUGUCGGCUCAUCACAUCCUGGGGCUGAAGUAGGUCCCAAGGGUAUGGCUGUUCGCCAUUUAAAGUGGUACGCGAGCUGGGUUUAGAACGUCGUGAGACAGUUCGGUCCCUAUCUGCCGUGGGCGCUGGAGAACUGAGGGGGGCUGCUCCUAGUACGAGAGGACCGGAGUGGACGCAUCACUGGUGUUCGGGUUGUCAUGCCAAUGGCACUGCCCGGUAGCUAAAUGCGGAAGAGAUAAGUGCUGAAAGCAUCUAAGCACGAAACUUGCCCCGA